rnacentral:lncRNA from 1 species
CUCUAGUGCCCAAGAUUAUUGGUUUGUGGGUGGGUGUGAUGUGGUGGGGUGUUGUGUUUUUUGUUUUGUUGGGGGAUUUUUUUGUUUGUUUGGGGUUUUUUUGUUGUUUUAUUUUUUGAGGUUGGACUCGAUGAUCUCAGAUGUCCCUUCCAACCAUGGUGAUUCUGUGAUUUUGUGGGUGUGAGGUGUGGAUCUACCACUGCUUGUGCUACGCUAAGUGAUCACACACCAACUUUAGGCAACCUUACCAGCAAGGUCUAAAGUAAUCCUAUUUUUGUGGGUUAAAGAGUUACUGCUGUGCAGCUGAGUCACUGUAACCUGCUUGGUGCUCACUCAUAGCCUUCCUUCACUGCCAGGAAUGCCUUAGCACAGACUAUCUUUAAGCUAAGCCUUUCUUUUUCACAAUCACAAGAGAGUGCUGGCUAUGGUCAUGACACAGGUGAUAAAUAGUAGUGCAUGAAGUAACUUCAUUGCCUUUGGUUGUACAUGUAACACAUCAUUUCAAGAAUCUCUUUUCAUCGAGAGAGAGGACUUCAUUUCUUAACGAUUCAGGAUCUAAUUUAUCCCAGGGGAGUUCUAUACAGGGUUAAUCAAUAGUGCUAAAUUUAAGAGGGAAAGAAUAAAUAAUUUUUAAGGAAUAGCCAAGGAACAUUUUUCUAUUUAAAAUAAAUAAUAGAUACAUUUUUUCAUAGAAAGACUUAGUGUUCAGUAGAAAAAGAGGUGAACAAUAAAAUAUAGUUGGUAAGGUAUUUAGUGGGACAGGGAAAAUUCUUUCAAUGUUUUCAGGUGUUUGUAGUGUUUAGGAUAAUUGGUAAAUCCAGUAAAAUCCUUCUUUGUCCCAUAGGUAAAGGAUCUGAAUUAAACUCGAGGCCUCCAGGAAGAGGAAGUGUUUGAACAAGGCAGGUGGACUGAGGGAAGCAGAAGGCGGUGGCCAGGACCCAUGGGACAGUGACAGCCACCCAAGCAGGCAGUAUUGAUCUCCCUUUGAGGAUCUGACUACCUCCAAGACACAAGUAUUAAAAUAGAAGAACACCAAUUAGAAAAUAUUGCUAAUUACUUAGUAGAGGGAAAUGUCGAGGGAGAAAGAGAAGAAAGGAAAAGAGGCCAGUGUGGAUGGAAUGUCAGUGAAAGAGGUCAGGAGGACGUUCUAGAGAAGCAGCACACAGCAGAGGAGAACAAAAAUCUCCAUGUCUCCAUGUUAAAAUGAUUGGAAAUUGAACUUGUGGGGGAUCUAGCAUGUGAUUACUUUUUUUAGACAGGAUUUUCUUCGUAGCUGAAUUGGACUGAGUCUUUUUUUUCUCCCAAACCAGAUGGUAAGUGAUUCAGUACUUUUAGCAGUAGAAAAAUGAUUUGUUUUCUUUCCUCAGUAGUUGGUGUGAAUGUACUUUUCUUUAUCUAUUUACAUAUUAUGUAAACACACUUUACCAGCGUUUAUGUACAUAGUUUGCAGUCCUAAUCCUGCAGAGAGCCCUGUAUAGGCAAGGCCUUGCACAUAGGAGAAGUUGACAUUGCUUACAGAAAGCUGUUUGCAUGGAACUCAUGGCAGGGUUGUAACUCUAUUUGUAUUUUUAUCUGUAUACUUACAUUAAUGACAUUGUACGAGGAUGCCAACAGAACCGUGAGUCCACAAUACAGCUGGGUAACUUUGCUCACUUUACUUUUUUUCACCUAACAAAGUCUCUGGGUGUGUCAGUGAUCUCUGCUGCUAUCUCCCUGUGGUAGGCUGUAGUCCGUGUGACACUUGAGUUAAAGUUAAAAGCUUUAUCCUUAUAAUAGGGUGUUGGGGCAAAAUCCUCUUGGUGUGCAGGGGGAGCGAGGGCCUCAUUCGUGUGACUUUUUGGACUUGUACUGAUGCUACUAGGGGGACUUCAUAAGGGAUUCCAGUAAUGGUGAGGAAUAUUUGGGAGAGUAUUAAAAAAAAAUUUCACAUACGUACCUGAUCUCUCAAAGUUGUCUGUAUCUGUAUUUGUUUGUGUAUAUGAAAGGUUAAAACUGAAUACUAAAUGCAGUGCUGUUCCUUGUUUUGUGCUAAAUAAAACAUACAUGUAAGCCA